UACGGGGGGAGCAAGCGUUGUUCGGAUUUACUGGGCGUAAAGGGCGCGUAGGCGGUCAGCACAAGUCAGUUGUGAAAUCUCCGGGCUUAACUCGGAAAGGUCAACUGAUACUGUGCGACUAGAGUGCGGAAGGGGCAACUGGAAUUCUUGGUGUAGCGGUGAAAUUCGUAGAUAUCAAGCAGAACACCUGCGGCGAAGGCGGCCUUCUGGACGAUGACUGACGCUGAGACGCGAAAGCGUGGGGAGCAAACAGG
rnacentral:rRNA from 1 species